UACGUAGGGGGCAAGCGUUAUCCGGAUUUACUGGGUGUAAAGGGGGCGCAGACGGCGAUGCAAGCCAGGAGUGAAAGCCCGGGGCCCAACCCCGGGACUGCUCUUGGAACUGCGUGGCUGGAGUGCAGGAGGGGCAGGCGGAAUUCCUGGUGUAGCGGUGAAAUGCGUAGAUAUCAGGAGGAACACCGGUGGCGAAGGCGGCCUGCUGGACUGCAACUGACGUUGAGGCCCGAAAGCGUGGGAAGCAAACAGG
rnacentral:rRNA from 1 species